ensembl:lncRNA
GGCUGUUGGGUCUCUCUCUCACGGGGUCUGGGAGCAGAGAGCUGCUGCGGGCCGGGAUCCGCGGGUGUGGGACUUCCGGUGGAGUCUAGAGACUAACGUAGGAAGAUCAUCUGGCUUGCAGAAGAAAAGAACUUAUGACAGAAGUAUAUUAUGAUUGUACCCUACGAGGACCAACAUCGGCUGACUGAGACAAAAGCAGACUCUUAACAAAGAAUCAUUGAACAAAAGUCACAGACCCCUGUGGUUGAAUUAGGGAAAGGUGGGAAGAAGCUAAGGAGGAGAGUGACCCUACAGAAAGAGCAGCAGUCUCAACAAACCCAGACCCCUGAGAUCUCUCAGACACUGAACCACCAAUCAGACAACAUAAAGGAGCUGGUCCGAGGUUCCAGACACAUGUACAAACAGAAGACUGCCUGGUCUGGCCACAGUGGGAGAAGAAGAGCCUAAACCUCUAGAGACUUGAGGCCCGGGUGACUAGAGGAAUGGUGGAAUGGUAGACCAGGAGGGGAGCAACUACUAGACUGUAAAACAAUAAAGACAAUCCCUAAAGGCGUUUUGGCUGUUAUGGAUUAAAAACAAUUUCCACCAUUUUCAUAGGGAAGCAGCUGAAUAUCCAUCAAGCUAUAUUUCUCAAUGACUGGCAGAAUACUGAUGUUGUAUAAUGAUGACGAUGAUGAUUACGAUGGAUAACUUUCAACCAAGCAAGAUAUAUACAAAUUUAUAAUAAGUGUUGGAGACCCAUGCACUUUCGACAAAUCAGCAAGUUGGGCAUGAGCCUUUACAUCAAGUUUGUGACCAUGUAAAGUGAAGCCAUGGUUAAAUAAUUCUACAGUGAACUCGAGGGAAUUUUAAGCCAGUGUGGACCUGAUAUUAAUUGCAAUCCCUUCCUGCUUAAUAUCUGGACAAACCCUCCAAUUGAUGUUGCCAUUUUGCAGAAGGCUAUG